GCGGGGGGGGGGGAGUGAGUCCCCGCGGUCCCAGCUAGACCACGAGGUUGAACCCGCAGACAAGCCGCAAGCUUCAGAGAGCCCCAGAGGCCCUGGCCGCACUCCCGCCUCGGGCAGGAGGAAACGGAGGGGCUGCCGGCCGGAUCUCUCCUGCUCCCUCCAGGGUCACAGGCAGGGCAGCUGAGGAACGACUCCCGCCAUGACAUCAACAUCAUCAUCAUCGGCGAAGGGAGCUGCUCUGCUCUCACAGCCCAUCUCUGGGCAGCAGCAGCAGUAGCUGCCAGAGUGCCUCGCUCUUGCUUAUUUGACUGAAUGGUUUCCAGAGGGGUGGUGGUGGUUUGCUGGAGGAAAAUUUGACAUCUUUACCUGGAAGAGAUGGAAAGUGCUGCAUAUAUCUGCAGUAUAAUCCAAAGUGUCCUUACUUGACUAAGAUUUAAGGUAACUCAAAACUUUCCUUGCAUCCUAUAGGCUGGGCCCUGGUAGGCUGAAACAGAACAAGCUUGCUUCUUGCUGACUGAUGAAUUUAAAAUUAGUUCAGAGAGCUUACCCCCUCAGUCCAAUACUGCUGAUCCUCCCAACUUGUGAAGAAGAAAACAUCAAAUGCUGCUUUGCCUUCGUUGGACCUAGAGGGAAACCAGCAUCUCUGAAGAUGGGAGUUCAAAUCAGAAAAACAGAAGACAAGAGAGUCCUGAAUUCCACUCCCAGUGAGAUAUAGCGACCAUCACUCAUGGAUUCAUAACUUCAAGGCUAGACUACUGUAGUGCCAACUGGCAAUGGUUUGGAGUAGAGGUUUUGUCCUGAGAGCAGGUGGAUUGCUGGAGACAGAGCCAGUACUCAAGUGCUUGAACUGACUUUAUGCUGAAUUCAAGUGGUAAUAGAAGAUUGGUUCACAUGGGACAAAACAACUUGCUGAAAACAAGAUGGAGUUAAUGUAUCAUGGACCGUAUGCAACUGGAGAGGUAGUUUAAUGCAAGGGUUUCUGUUUGUGCAGCAAAACUUCUCUUCUGUGCUCCUUCUCCCAAAUCUGCUCUGAAGGGUUGGGGAUUUGGAGAGCAUGCUGUGGGGGUGGCAGGAUGGAGAAGCAAAUUCCUUGGGGGAAGCCAUGACUAGUUAGAAUGUUAUAAUACGAGUUUAAAUGUAUAGUGUUGAUGGGGUGUUUGAUAUUCUUUGAAUGCCAAACAAAUGCCUUCUUCUCCCCCAGCAUUCCAGCAUGUUGUGUAGUUGCUUUUAGUUGUGUCUGAUGGGUUCUGAUGGAUUUUACAUUAUUGGCUGGUGGUGGCUGCAGCUUUAUUGAUUUGCUUUGUGCCUGGUCUUUACGUGUGUUUUUAUAAUUUAAAUGUUUGUCAGCCUAGAAGCAUUAUGCCAAAGGUCAGCUUAUAAAUUUACAGCAAUCAAUCAAUAAGCAAAUAAAUGCAUCUUAGAAAAAUUAAUAGUAGCUCUCAAAAUAAUGGGACAUGCAUAGAAAUCUUCAGAUUUGGAAAAAAAGCAGCUUGAAAACUGUAUGCAGACAUAUCACCAUCAUGGUUUAAUUGUUUUUUUCAUUUUAUAUUUCCUGUUGCUUAGAAAGAAAUAGGAUUUUACCAAGAGGCUAGUGCUGUACAAAUAAGUCAUGUGUCUGUGAACUGCAUAUUUCCAAACCCCAUCUUAGAGGCUGACUCAUACCAUAAAGAAAAUGGCAAAUCCAGGUUAUUUGGGGAAAGGGGUUGGUAAACUGAGAAAUAUGAUUUGGAGGGAGCUGGGAGGUGAGGUCUAAGAAGUGGAAAGUGGUAAAUGAUUUGCAGCAAUGUCUUGGCUCCAGGCGUGGAGCUGGCUUUAUGUCUCCGAAUAAGGUCACAUCCAUUUUGUACGAUUAAAUUUAACCUGAUUGAAUAAUUA